AGUGAACGCUGGCGGUAGGCCUAACACAUGCAAGUCGAACGGCAGCACAGUAAGAGCUUGCUCUUACGGGUGGCGAGUGGCGGACGGGUGAGGAAUACAUCGGAAUCUACUUUUUCGUGGGGGAUAACGUAGGGAAACUUACGCUAAUACCGCAUACGACCUACGGGUGAAAGCAGGGGAUCUUCGGACCUUGCGCGAUUGAAUGAGCCGAUGUCGGAUUAGCUAGUUGGCGGGGUAAAGGCCCACCAAGGCGACGAUCCGUAGCUGGUCUGAGAGGAUGAUAAGCCACACUGGAACUGAGACAGGGUCCAGACGCCUACGGGAGGCAGCAGUGGGGAAUAUUGGACAAUGGGCGCAAGCAUGAUCCAGCCAUACCGCGUGGGUGAAGAAGGCCUUCGGGUUGUAAAGACCUUUUGUUGGGAAAGAAAAGCAGCAGGUUAAGACCCCGCUGUUCUGACGGUACCCAAAGAAUAAGCACCGGCUAACUUCGUG
rnacentral:rRNA from 1 species